CUUUGACUUGGGACUCGGACUUCCGAGCGAAGCUUUAGCUACUAGUCGGUCGUGAGGCCGACGAACGCGAGGCAGGCCUUGGGGGUCGGGAGGGUCUCUCGUCUUCUCUGACGACUUGACCUC
rnacentral:rRNA from 1 species